GCUUCCUCUGCAAUUGCGGGUCCGCGCUGCCGGGCCUGUCUCCGCGCCUCUGGUCGCUCGCUGUCGCCAGCUUCUAGAUUGUUGCUGGGCCCUCGGGAGCUCAAAGGGUCCUGGGGCGCAGGCGGUGCUGCCCUCCUUACCAGCAAGGCGGAGCCCGUAGUAACAUCCGGCAGGGAAAUGGUCGUGGUUUCUGUGCCCGCCGAAGUCACCGUAAUCCUGUUAGAUAUCGAAGGACAUUUUAUUUCCGUACAUUAAGGAAAAUGUCAAGGAGUAUCUGCAGACACACUGGGAGGAGGAGGAGUGCCAGCAGGAUGUCAGCCUGCUGAGGAAGCAGGCUGAAGAAGAUGCACAUCUGGAUGGGGCUGUCCCGAUACCUGUGGCAUCUGGUGGUGACGUGCAGCAGAUGAUCCAGGCUGUGGUAGACAAUGUGUCCUGGCAGAUGUCUCAUGACCGCAAGACCACGGCGCUCAAGCAGCUGCAGGGCCACAUGUGGAAGGCGGCGUUCACGGCUGGCCGCAUGAAGGCAGAGGUCUUUGCAGAUGUGGUCCCUGCCGUUAGAAGGUGGCGGGAAGCCGGGAUGAAGGUGUACAUCUAUUC
rnacentral:lncRNA from 1 species